rnacentral:rRNA from 1 species
GAUGAACGCUGGCGGCGUGCCUAAUACAUGCAAGUCGAGCGAACGGACGAGAAGCUUGCUUCUCUGAUGUUAUCGGCGGACGGGUGAUUAACACGUGGAUAACCUACCUAUAAGACUGGGAUAACUUCGGGAAACCGUAGCUAAUACCGGAUAAUAUUUUGAACCUCAUGGUUCAAAAGUGAAAGACGGUCUUGCUUUCACUUAUAGAUUGAUCCGCGCUGCAUUAGCUAGUUGGUAAGGUAACGGCUUACCAAGGCAACGAUGCAUAGCCGACCUGAGAGGGUGAUCGGCCACACGGGAACUGAGAAACGGUCCAGACACCUACAGGAGGCAGCAGUAGGGAAUCUUCCGCAAUGGGCGAAAGCCGGACGGAGCAAAGCCGCGUGAGGGAUGAAGGUCUUAGGAUCGUAAAACGCUGUUAUUAGGGAAGAACAUAUGUGUAAGUAACUGUGAACAUAUUGACGGUACCUAAUCAGAAAGCCACGGCUAACUACGUG